GACGAACGCUGGCGGCGUGCUUAACACAUGCAAGUCGAACGGAAAGGCCCUGAUUUUGUUGGGUGCUCGAGUGGCGAGCGGGUGAGUAACACGUGAGUAACCUGCCCUUGUCUUUGGGAUAACUCUAGGAAACUGGGGCUAAUACCGGGUAGGAUCUCCUGAUGCAUGGUGGGGGUUGGAAAAUUUCGGCGGUUGGGGAUGGACUCGCGGCUUAUCAGCUUGUUGGGGGGGUAGUGGAUGACCAAGCCUGUGACGGGUAGCCUGCCUGAGAGGUGGAACGGCCACCAGGGGACUGAGAGACGGCCCAGACUGCUACGGGACGCAGCAGUGGGGAAUAUUGCACAAUGGGCGGAAGCCAGAUGUAGCAACGCCGCGUGCGGGAUGACGGGCUUCGGGUUGUAAACCGCUUUCGCCUAUGACGAAGCGUGAGUGACGGUAAUGGGUAAAGAAGCACCGGCUAACUACGUG
rnacentral:rRNA from 1 species